UAUCCUUAUUUGCCAGCGCGUUAUGGCGGGAACUCUAAGGAGACCGCCGGUGAUAAACCGGAGGAAGGUGGGGACGACGUCAAGUCAUCAUGGCCCUUACGGGAUGGGCUACACACGUGCUACAAUGGCAGGUACAGAGGGCAGCAAUACCGCGAGGUGGAGCGAAUCCUACAAAGCUUGUCGUAGUCCGGAUUGGAGUCUGCAACUCGACUCCAUGAAGUCGGAAUCGCUAGUAAUCGUAGAUCAGAAUGCUACGGUGAAUACGUUC
rnacentral:rRNA from 1 species